GUUUCGCUGGUUUUGAUGAUACUGGCCGGACAACGAGACUGGGUUAGCAAAGCAGGAAGGCAAUUUGUACACGACGUACCGUGCCGAAGAAUGCCGAAGAUCGGCUCGGGCCUUAUCCCGGUGAUUCGGGCGAUCUCGUUGGGUCGAGUGUUGACUCGUAACGCCGCAUUGGCGCUCGAUCACAACUCGGCCGUCCUGGAUGAUAAAAGACCGUUGUCAUUUCCACUGAUCAGUUAUUGUUCGGCACGCGGCACGCAGAAGAACGUAUUCCUGUCGAAGAAGACAAAUAAUACGCUGGCUUUUCAUCGACUAUUAUUUAGAAGAUAUUGUUGCAAGAAAGAGACAGAAGACGACAAAAUGUCCAAGAUGAGUAGAAACCCGGCUGCCGAACAGUUGACUGAAUACAAGAAAAAUGUACAGGGCCAGCAGCGUGUAUUGUUAACCGGAAGUGGAAACCCGAUCGCUAACAAGACAGCAAGCUUGACGGUUGGUCCAAAUGGCCCUAUUCUGCUUCAAGAUUUCGUCUUUAUAGACGAAAUGACUCAUUUCGCCAGAGAAAGGAUUCCGGAGCGUGUGGUGCACGCGAAAGGAGCUGGUGCAUUUGGUUAUUUCGAAGUUACCCACGACAUUACCAACUACUGUAAGGCAAAGGUUUUCUCCUCCAUUGGAAAACGUACUCCCGUCGCUGUGAGAUUUUCCAGCGUGGGCGGCGAGUCUGGCUCCUCUGAUACUGUCAGAGAUCCACGUGGUUUUGCGAUCAAAUUCUACACCGAGGACGGUAUCUGGGAUUUGGUGGGCAACAACACGCCGAUCUUCUUCAUCAAGGACCCGAUAUUCUUCCCCAGCUUUAUCCACACGCAAAAGAGAAAUCCUGUCACUCACUUGAAGGACGCCGACAUGUUCUGGGACUUCAUCUCUCUGAGACCCGAGUCAACGCACCAGAUCAUGUUGCUGUUUUCGGAUCGAGGUAUUCCCGACGGUCAUCGUCACAUGAAUGGUUACGGCUCCCAUACGUUCAAGCUAGUGAACGCCGACAACGACAUAGUCUACUGUAAAUUCCACUACAAGACCGACCAAGGAAUUAAAAAUAUCCCAGUCGAUAAGGCGGCUGAAUUAAGCAGCUCUGAUCCCGAUUACUCGAUCAAAGAUCUUUACAAUGCGAUCGCUACACAUAAUUAUCCGACGUGGACGUUCUCUAUUCAAGUGAUGAAGCCGUGUCAAGCAAAGAAGUUCAGAUGGAACCCGUUCGAUUUGACCAAAGUAUGGCCGCAUGACGAGUUCCCGCUCAUACCUGUUGGUAAGCUGGUGCUAGACCGAAAUCCUGAAAAUUACUUUGCUGACGUGGAGCAAAUAGCCUUCGAUCCGGCUCACAUGGUACCUGGUAUUGAAGCAAGUCCUGACAGAAUGCUACAGGGUCGACUAUUCGCUUACGGCGAUACUCAUAGGCAUCGUCUUGGGCCGAAUCAUCUUCAGUUACCCGUGAACUGCCCGUACAAGGCGAUAUCCGCGAUGAAUUAUCAACGCGAUGGCCCGAUGACCUUCUAUAAUCAAAAUGGUGCGCCGAACUAUUUCCCCAACAGUUUCAGUGGCCCACAAGAAUGUCCAGCUGCUCGUCCCACAAGCUACCACGUGAGUGGCGACGUGGACCGUUACGAUCCAGAAGACGAAGAUAAUUUCGGACAGGCGACCAUAUUUUGGAGACGAGUUCUCAACGACGGCGAGAAGACCAGGCUGGUGAACAACCUGGUUAAUAGCCUUCGUAAUGCGUCAACGUUCAUCGUCGAGAGGGCCGUGAAGAACUUUACGGAAGUGGACACUGAAUUGGGCAAAAGACUUACCGAUGGCCUUCGUGAUGUUGGCGUGAGGAUCAACCUUUUUGGCAAAACAGCUAGCUUGUGAACAAAAUAAUUCUUCCUUUUGUACUAUAAUCGCUGUGCUGGACUAUAUACGUAUACUAUCUACUGUCGUUACUUUGGUUAACAUCUGCCUCAAAAAUCUUUUAACGUUUAUCAUAUUUAAUCAUGUUGUUUCUUCUUUUCUCCUUUUAUUAUUGUACUUCUAUAUAUUACUGGCUUCGCUUUCCUUUUUCUUACUCUAUCUUUUACUCUAUCGGCUUCGCUUUCUCUUUGUUACUGUGUAUUUUAUGAAUCUAUAAUACGUUUUAUUAUCUUUCCAUUGAGAAAAGAGACUCAAUCAAUCAAGCGUAAUGCAAAGUGAUUUAUACAAUGAAUUAUCUGUACGAUGUCUUUGUAUCGAACAAUUUGUAUUGUUAUAUCACCAAUAUAUGAUAUAAAAGUUUGUAAGAAGAAAUGGAAGAUGUUUUGUAAUUUAAUAUAAAAGUAAAAUAAAGAUUACGGGGAAACAAGGGAACUAAAUGAUAAACAUAUUGCAAUCUCAUUUCAAAAAAGUAAUUUUGCUUUUUCGCUUGAAGCUUUUCUCUUAUAUAUCAUAUAAGAUAUAUCAAUAUUAAUAGUAAAUUAUUCAAAUUGAAUUAUUCGACAACGCAAUGAAACUAGAUACUAAAAUUGAUUGGAAAUCUUUUUACAACAAUAUUUCUUUUUUUUUUACAACAGUAAAAAGUUGAAAGACAGAUUUAAGUUAAUUAGUAUCUUCUUCAGAUAUGUGGUUGGUAAUUUUAAUACAAUAUAAUUAGUACGCAAUCACGAUGUCUAUUUAUUUAAUAUUCAGUUCACUCGAAGUACUGUUUAUUCAGCAACGAAACAUAAACUGCUGCACUGGACAAUAAAACGAGGUCUGAAUAUCUCUCAAGAAGAUUAGAUGCAACUUUAACGUUUCGUCUCUCACAGUCGGCCGAUAAGGAACUACGAGUAAGGAAAAAUCAGCGAAGUUUUUCCUUGAGCAAGAUAAUCUCAAUGAAGGUAUUAAUAAACAGAAAAAUGUUGGUUUGCGAAAUUCUGGUUUAUCAACGAGGAAAAGUCCACAACUCCAAGUGUACAGUGAAUCCCGGUGGUAUUUACACGUUGCUUAAACAAAGAUGAUGUACAUUUUAUCCUACGUGUGAGCGAAGCUCGUGGAACGAGAUGACACGUUCGACAGGUGUACAAUAUCUGCUUUAUGGCGCAAUGGAUGAGCACAUUAUACCGUUAUGUAAAGAAACAAAGUGAGAUAUUUUGUUUCUGAUCGAUUGUUUAAAAUUUCAUCAACCACUAAAAAAUAUGGUAUUAGCAAAUCGGUUGAAAAAAAGAAAUGGAAAUAUCGUUGACUUUUACAAGUUUUUGACAGCAUUGGUUCGUCUUAUAAAAUUUUGCAGUUACCAACGAUUGAUUAAUUAUUCUUCAAUUAUUUUUGAUAGAAGUGGGGCUAAUAUUAAAAGUAUGAUGUAGCGGUAGAAAAUUUGUAAUGGUGUAGGGAUAUCAGGUGUUUUUCGCGGUUGUGUUUAUCUUACAGUAUUGUAAUAGCUUCUACAAUUCCAGUAUUAUAACGUUUGAUUCAAUUAUACGUGUUUCUGUAUUUUCUCUAUCACACGUUUACCAAUUUUUCUAUUACACAACGUACCACAUAGCGUAAAAGAACGAAAAGCAGAGUAUUAUACUUUCUAAGCUAUGUCGCGUGAUUCAGGUGCUUAUCUUUGAGUGCACAGGGAAGAUUUGUUUCUCGAGAAAAUAUGACACGAAUGAAUUAUUAGAUUUAACGUAAAUUAACUAUGUAUACGAAAAGUUCGUAAUUUAAAUUUGUGCUAAAUAAAGUUUCUUAAUCGAAUGUAA